rnacentral:rRNA from 1 species
UAAAGCAAAGAAGAGCGCAGAGUGAAUGCCUUGGCAUUGAGAGCCGAAGAAGGACGUGGUUAACUGCGAUAAGCAGCGGGGAGUUGUAAGCAAGCAUUGAUCCGCUGAUUUCCGAAUGGAGCAAUCCGCAUGAAGUAGUUCAUGCAUCCAUAUGUGAAUCAAUAGCAUAUGGAGGGGAACCGCCUGAACUGAAACAUCUAAGUAGGGCGAGGAAGAGAAAUCAACCGAGAUUCCGUAAGUAGUGGCGAGCGAACGCGGAAGAGGCCAAACCGAGAGAAGAAAUUCUUUCGGGGUUCGGACUGCAUUUAGUAUUCCUGAUCUUUAGUCGAACAGUCUGGGAAGGCUGACGAGAGAGUGUGAGAGUCACGUAGACGAAAAGGAGAAGGAGCGAGCAGGAUCCAGAGUACCGCGGGGCACGUGAAAUCCCGUGGGAAGAUGGGGGGACCACCCUCCAAGCCUAAAUACUACUCAAUGACCGAUAGCGUAUAGUACUGUGAAGGAAAGGUGAAAAGCACCCCGGGAGGGGAGUGAAAUAGAACCUGAAACCCUGUGCCUACAAGCACCGAGAGCACGUCAAAGUGUGAUCGGGUACUUUUUGUAGAACGGUCCGGCGAGCGAAUGUAUGUAGCGAGGUUAAGGUGUUAAGCACUGGAGCCGCAGCGAGAGCGAGUCUGAAUAGGGCGUUGAGUUGCAUGCAUUGGGCCCGAAACCGAGUGACCUACCCAUGGUCAGGCUGAAGUGGAGGUAAAACUCCAUGGAGGGCCGAACCGACCUCCGUUGAAAAGGCGGCGGAUGAGAUGUGGCUAGCGGAGAAAUUCCAAUCGAACCCGGAUAUAGCUGGUUCUCCCCGAAAUAGCUUUAGGGCUAGCGUUGUAUUAGAUUACCGGAGGUAAAGCACUGAAUGGGCUAGGGGCUGAGAAGUUACUGAACCCUAUCAAACUAAGAAUGCCGGAUAAUUGAUGUACAGCAGUCAGACUAUGUGAGAUAAGUCUCAUAGUCAAAAGGGAAACAGCCCAGACCCACAGCUAAGGUCCCAAAAUGGAUUUAAGUGGAAAAGGAUGUGGAAUUGCACAGACAACCAGGAUGUUGGCUUAGAAGCAGCCACUCAUUAAAAGAGUGCGUAAUAGCUCACUGGUCGAGUGACUCUGCGCCGAAAAUUCAACGGGGCUAAAAUUCAUACCGAAGCUUGGGCUUGACAGCAAUGUCAGGGGUAGGGGAGCGUCGUAUACGAGGUGAAGUCAUAGCGGAAGCGGUGGUGGAUUGUAUACGAGUGAGAAUGCCGGAAUGAGUAGCGAGAAUUAUGUGAGAAUCAUAAUGGCCGAAAGUCUAAGGUUUCCUGAGGAAGGUUCGUCCUCUCAGGGUUAGCCGGGAGCUAAGGUGAGGCGGAAACGCGUAGCCGAUGCACAUACGGUAGAAAUUCCGUAGCCUCCGAAGAUUUAAGCACAGGGACACUUUUGAAGGGCUGAGCCGGGCGUUGGUUGCCCCGGUCGAAAGGGACACGAUUGAGUGGAAGUCAGUUUGGAAAGAGGCGAGAAAAGCUGUGUGUAUAUGGAAGGAGCCCGUACCGCAAACCGACACAGGUAGACAGGAAGAAGAUUCUAAGGCCAGCGGGAGAAGGGUUGUUAAGGAACUCGGCAAGUUGACCCCGUAACUUCGGGAGAAGGGGUGCUUACGAAGGUAAGCCGCAGAGAAUAGGCCCAAGCGACUGUUUAGCAAAAACACAGCUCUAUGCUAAAUCGAAAGAUGACGUAUAUGGGGUGACACCUGCCCGGUGCUGGAAGGUUAAGAGGAGAUGUGAGAGCAUUGAAUUGAAGCCCCAGUAAACGGCGGCCGUAACUAUAACGGUCCUAAGGUAGCGAAAUUCCUUGUCAGGUAAGUUCUGACCCGCACGAAUGGUGUAACGAUU